rnacentral:rRNA from 1 species
UGGCAGCCGCCGCGGUAAUACGCAGGGGACUAGCGUUGUUCGGAUUUACUGGGCGUAAAGCGCGCGUAGGCGGAUUGGAAAGUUAGAGGUGAAAUCCCAGGGCUCAACCCUGGAACUGCCUUUAAAACUCCCAGUCUUGAGUUCGAGAGAGGUGAGUGGAAUUCCGAGUGUAGAGGUGAAAUUCGUAGAUAUUCGGAGGAACACCAGUGGCGAAGGCGGCUUUCUGGACCGAUACUGACGCUGAGACGCGAAAGCGUGGGGAGCAAACAGGAUUAGAUA